rnacentral:rRNA from 1 species
CAGUCGCCGCGGUAAUACGUAGGGGGCAAGCGUUAUCCGGAAUUACUGGGUGUAAAGGGAGCGUAGACGGUUAAACAAGUCUGAAGUGAAAUGCCGGGGCUCAACCCCGGAGCUGCUUUGGGAACUGUAGAACUGGAGUGUCGGAGGGGUAAGCGGAAUUCCCAGUGUAGCGGUGAAAUGCGUAGAUAUUGGGAGGAACACCGGCGGCGAAGGCGGCUUACUGGACGACAACUGACGUUGAGGCUCGAAGGCGUGGGUAGCAAACAGGAUUAGAUACCCCAGUAGUCCCUGUCUCUUAUAC